UGCAGUCCAUGGGGUCACAAAGAGCUGGACACGAUUGAGUGACUGAACUGAACUGAACUGAUUAUGCCAUCCCAAUCAUUCUUGAGAAGCUGGAGUCUCAACAUAGAAGAGAUUAAGAUUUAAGAUAGAAGAGACUGAGUGAAAAUUCUAUAGUCCUGGAUUUGAAAUAGAGGUAUCAUGAGGGACAGAGAAAUGAACAAACAGGAGAGGAAGAGGAAACGUAACCACAGUGGAAGGAAGUGGAGCAGCAGAGCAACCAGGAAUGCCAGCCGCUAACGGAAGUUGGAAGAGACAGAACAGAUUUCUCCCUGAGAGCCUCUGGGGGACGUAUGUCCCUGCCAACGUUUUUGUUUUGGACUUCUGGCCUCCAGAACUAUGAGAAUAAAUUUCUGUUGUUUUUAAGCCA